AUACGGAGGGUGCAAGCGUUACUCGGAAUCACUGGGCGUAAAGCGCGCGCAGGUGGGCAGAUAAGUUGGAUGUGAAAGCCUACGGCUCAACCGUAGAACUGCAUCCAAAACUGUCAGUCUAGAGUCUGGGAGGGGAAGAUGGAAUUAGUUGUGUAGGGGUAAAAUCCGUAGAGAUAACUAGGAAUACCAAAAGCGAAGGCGAUCUUCUGGAACAGUACUGACGCUGAGGCGCGAAAGCGUGGGGAGCAAACAGGAUUAGAUACCCUAGUAGUCC
rnacentral:rRNA from 1 species